GGGGCUGUAGCUCAGAUGGGAGAGUACUUGACUGGCAGUCAAGGUGUCGAGGGUUCAAUCCCCUUCAGCUCCACCA
rnacentral:tRNA from 1 species